GGGAUACGAAAAGACCGAAGAGGAGGGAGAAUGUUGAAACACAAGCGCCAGAGAGAUGAUGGGGAGGGCAGGGGUGAAGUGGGGUCUGCUGGAGACAUGAGAGCUGCCAACCUUUGGCCAAGCCCGCUCAUGAUCAAACACUCUAAGAAGAACAGCCCGGCCUUGUCCCUGACGGCCGACCAGAUGGUCAGUGCCUUGUUGGAUGCUGAGCCCCCCAUACUCUAUUCCGAGUAUGAUCCUACCAGACCCUUCAGUGAGGCUUCGAUGAUGGGCUUACUGACCAACCUGGCAGACAGGGAGCUGGUUCACAUGAUCAACUGGGCAAAGAGGGUGCCAGAAAGGAUGGAUAUGUGUGUGAUCCUGGGUGUGCCAAAUGCUGUGGCUUCCUGAAGCUUAGAUUUCCAGCUUGUCACCUUCAAGGUUACCUUGUGAAUAGGACUUUUUUGAGCUAUUUCUAUCCAGCUGACUAUGGAUUUUGCCUGUUGCUUUGUUUCCACCAACUCUCCCUGAAGAUGAGGCGCACAGACAGACAACUCACAGGCAAGAACAGCCUGGUCCAUCUUGAAAGAUUCUCAAGACUAUUCUCCACAAGAUAAUUGUCUACUUUUAAAAAUAUUCAGUAAAGGGAAUUUUUGCUGUUA
rnacentral:sRNA from 1 species